AUUGAACGCUGGCGGCAUGCCUUACACAUGCAAGUCGAACGGUAACAGGUCUUCGGAUGCUGACGAGUGGCGAACGGGUGAGUAAUACAUCAGAACGUGCCUAGUAGUGGGGGAUAACUACUCGAAAGAGUGGCCAAUACCGCAUGAGAUCUACGGAUGAAAGCAGGGGAUCGCAAGACCUUGUGCUACUAGAGCGGCCGAUGGCAGAUUAGGUAGUUGGUGGGAUAAAAGCUUACCAAGCCGACGAUCUGUAGCUGGUCUGAGAGGACGAUCAGCCACACUGGGACUGAGACACGGCCCAGACUCCUACGGGAGGCAGCAGUGGGGAAUUUUGGACAAUGGGCGCAAGCCUGAUCCAGCAAUGCCGCGUGCAGGAUGAAGGCCUUCGGGUUGUAAACUGCUUUUGUACGGAACGAAAAGCCCUGGGUUAAUACCCUGGGGUCAUGACGGUACCGUAAGAAUAAGCACCGGCUAACUACGUGCCAGCCGCCGCCGUAAUAC
rnacentral:rRNA from 1 species